CUAAAUAAAAUCGACUUCGUUUCUGUUUUCGCAGUAACGUUUGUCGGAAAUUGGGUUAUCUUAAACUUUUCGGUUUAAGUGGCUUAAAAUUUUAUUUUACGAUUCUACGAACGUUUCUAAGAUCUCUUUUUCACGUUCAAGAUAUCGAACACAUAUUAGACGUGGCCGUCACAUCGGAUCUCGUCCAUAAUUUUCUUU
rnacentral:misc_RNA from 1 species